AUUGAACGCUGGCGGCAUGCCUUACACAUGCAAGUCGAACGGCAGCACGGGAGCAAUCCUGGUGGCGAGUGGCGAACGGGUGAGUAAUAUAUCGGAACGUGCCCAGUCGUGGGGGAUAACGUAGCGAAAGCUACGCUAAUACCGCAUACGAUCUAUGGAUGAAAGCGGGGGAUCGCAAGACCUCGCGCGAUUGGAGCGGCCGAUAUCAGAUUAGGUAGUUGGUGAGGUAAAGGCUCACCAGGCCGACGAUCUGUAGCUGGUCUGAGAGGACGACCAGCCACACUGGGACUGAGACACGGCCCAGACUCCUACGGGAGGCAGCAGUGGGGAAUUUUGGACAAUGGCGCAAGCCUGAUCCAGCAAUGCCG
rnacentral:rRNA from 1 species